rnacentral:rRNA from 1 species
UACGGGGGGGGCAAGCGUUGUUCGGAAUCACUGGGCGUAAAGGGCUCGUAGGUGGCCAACUAAGUCAGACGUGAAAUCCCUCGGCUUAACCGGGGAACUGCGUCUGAUACUGGAUGGCUUGAGUUUGGGAGAGGGACGCGGAAUUCCAGGUGUAGCGGUGAAAUGCGUAGAUAUCCGGAGGAACACCGGUGGCGAAGGCGGCUUCCUGGACCGACACUGACGCUGAGGCGCGAAAGCUAGGGGAGCAAACGGG